rnacentral:rRNA from 1 species
AUUGAACGCUGGCGGCAGGCCUAACACAUGCAAGUCGAACGGUAACAGGAAGACGCUUGCUUCUUUGCUGACGAGUGGCGGACGGGUGAGUCAUGUCUGGGAAACUGCCUGAUGGAGGGGGAUAACUACUGGAAACGGUAGCUAAUACCGCAUAACGUCGCAAGACCAAAAAGGGGGACCUUCGGGCCUCUUGCCAUCGGAUGUGCCCAGAUGGGAUUAGCUAGUAGGUGGGGUAACGGCUCACCUAGGCGACGAUCCCUAGCUGGUCUGAGAGGAUGACCAGCCACACUGGAACUGAGACACGGUCCAGACUCCUACGGGAGGCAGCAGUGGGGAAUAUUGCACAAUGGGCGCAAGCCUGAUGCAGCCAUGCCGCGUGUAUGAAGAAGGCCUUCGGGUUGUAAAGUACUUUCAGCGGGGAGGAAGGGAGUAAAGUUAAUACCUUUGCUCAUUGACGUUACCCGCAGAAGAAGCACCGGCUAACUCCGUG